rnacentral:lncRNA from 1 species
CUUAAACCCAAUUAUAAAUGGCUUUGGCUAUAAAGUGUUCUUGAAUGAAAACGUUUAGGAAGUAGGCCUGGAUUCAGAUGCUUCAGAGGCUCAAAGGAAACAGGAAUCGUGGCUAACCAAAUCCAGCCCAACUGCUUCCUUGUUCACAUGGGGAAAUCGAGGAAGGCCCGGGGAGAGGAAGGCCUGGGGAGAGGAAGUUACUUGCCCAAGUUGCCCAGUUAAUUAGCCACAGAACCCAUGUCCCCCAACUCUGAAACAAGUUCCAGUUAAAGUCUUCACUGAUAACUUUAAAUCCUCCACUAACCAAGGGAGUCAUCUUUGCAUUUGCACAGAGGAGAUGGGAAAAUCACAAAGCCCUUAAGGUCCAGAAGAAAUGAGUGUCACUACGUUGGGCUCCC